ACUCCUACGGGAGGCAGCAGUGGGGAAUAUUGCACAAUGGGCGCAAGCCUGAUGCAGCCAUGCCGCGUGUAUGAAGAAGGCCUUCGGGUUGUAAAGUACUUUCAGCAGUGAGGAAGGCGGGUACGUUAAUAGCGUGCUCGUUUGACGUUAGCUGCAGAAGAAGCACCGGCUAACUCCGUGCCAGCAGCCGCGGUAAUACGGAGGGUGCGAGCGUUAAUCGGAAUUACUGGGCGUAAAGCGCAUGCAGGUGGUUUGUUAAGUCAGAUGUGAAAGCCCGGGGCUCAACCUCGGAAUAGCAUUUGAAACUGGCAGACUAGAGUACUGUAGAGGGGGGUAGAAUUUCAGGUGUAGCGGUGAAAUGCGUAGAGAUCUGAAGGAAUACCGGUGGCGAAGGCGGCCCCCUGGACAGAUACUGACACUCAGAUGCGAAAGCGUGGGGAGCAAACAGGAUUAGAUACCCUGGUAGGAUAGCG
rnacentral:rRNA from 1 species